CAGUCGCCACGGGAAUACGUAGGGUGCGAGCGUUAAUCGGAAUUACUGGGCGUAAAGCGUACGCAGGCGGUUAUAUAAGACAGAUGUGAAAUCCCCGGGCUCAACCUGGGACCUGCAUUUGUGACUGUAUAGCUAGAGUACGGUAGAGGGGGAUGGGAUUCCGCGUGUAGCAGUGAAAUGCGUAGAUAUGCGGAGGAACACCGAUGGCGAAGGCAAUCCCCUGGACCUGUACUGACGCUCAUGCACGAAAGCGUGGGGAGCAGACAGGAUUAGAUACCCCUGUAGUCCCUGUCUCUUAUAC
rnacentral:rRNA from 1 species